rnacentral:rRNA from 1 species
GUGAGGAAUAUUGGUCAAUGGACGAGAGUCUGAACCAGCCAAGUCGCGUGAAGGAAGACGGUUCUAUGAAUUGUAAACUUCUUUUGUGCAGGAAUAAAGUGGGUUACGUGUAACCUUUUGUAUGUACUGUACGAAUAAGGAUCGGCUAACGCCGUGCCAGCAGCCGCGGUAAUACGGAGGAUCCGAGCGUUAUCCGGAGUUAUUGGGUUUAAAGGGUGCGUCGGUGGAUUGAUAAGUCAGCGGUGAAAGUUUGCAGCUUAACUGUAAAAGUGCCGUUGAAACUGUCGGUCUUGAGUGCAAAUGAGGUAGGCGGAAUGUGUUGUGUAGCGGUGAAAUGCGUAGAUAUAACACAGAACUCCGAUUGCGAAGGCAGCUUACUGGGAUGCAACUGACACUGAUGCACGAAAGCGUGGGUAUCAAACAGGAUUAGAAACCCUGGUAGUCC